CCUACGGGAGGCUGCAGUGGGGAAUAUUGCACAAUGGGGGAAACCCUGAUGCAGCGACGCCGCGUGAGUGAAGAAGUAAUUCGUUAUGUAAAGCUCUAUCAGCAGGGAAGAAAAUGACGGUACCUGAGUAAGAAGCCCCGGCUAACUACGUGCCAGCAGCCGAGGUAAUACGUAGGGGGCAAGCGUUAUCCGGAUUUACUGGGUGUAACGGGAGCGUAGACGGCAGUGCAAGUCUGGAGUGAAAGGCGGGGGCUCAACCCCCGGACUGCUCUGGAAACUGUACGGCUGGAGUGCAGGAGAGGGAAGUGGAAUUCCUAGUGUAGCGGUGAAAUGCGUAGAUAUUAGGAGGAACACCAGUGGCGAAGGCGGCUUACUGGACUGUAACUGACGUUGAGGCUCGAAAGCGUGGGGAGCAAACAGGAUUAGAUACCCUUGUAGUC
rnacentral:rRNA from 1 species